CUCUGUUCUGUUCGGCCUUCCCUCUCUACAGUCCUUUCUUUGACUUCGCUCCCUAGAAGCAUGAACUGCGAUGAGCACUCCCUUCCUGCCUUUGCUUGUACUGUCUUCUACCCCUGAAACUGCACUCCUGACCCUUUGGCUUUAGGAUACCUGUACAACUCGUUUUUCCAGACAUUCACGAGUCACCUCCAAAUGCUUUCUCGAUCUGACGAUUAUGUGUCUUGGGGUUGAUCUUGUCAUGGAGUAUCUUACUGGAGUUGUCUGGAUUUCCUGAAUUUAAAUGUUGCCCUAUCUUGUUAGGUUGGGGAACUUCUCCUGGAUGAUGUCCUGAAGUAUGUUUUCUCCAAAGGCAUGAGCUCCUCAAAGUUCAGGAAGCAAGUCCAAGACUUCACCCUUGAUCUUUUUCCACAGCCCUAUGGGGUGAAUAGAAGCAGACAUUAGAUACAGCUCACACAUGGAGAAACUGAAGUACACUCCAUCAUUUCUGAGCAGGAGGAAUAGCUCAGAGCCCCCCAGAACUCCUCUUCAGACCUCCUAUUUAAUGGUACCUUGGGGAAGGGGCUGGUUCUCUGUGGCUUCGGCAAAUCUUACUACAAAGCCUUGUGCCCCUCGGAAGGUAACCAUGGAUACUAUUGAGCUGGCACAAAAGCCUUCAGUUAGUGGAGACUACAAGUGGUUUUCAGGGGCUGAAGGAAUUUUCAGGAAAGGGGCAAAACGUGGAAACACUUGCAGAGGGAAGACCUUUGCCUCAGGCCCCUUGGCUGGGUGUGUUUCAGUUAAGAUGGGCACUUAUGCUCAGAGGAGCACUGGAGCAGUGACAGGGCUCUAAUCUGGGACUGGGAUAGUAAGUAGCUGUGAGGUGAGAAUCAAAGGGAAUCCCAGGCGCUUUUUUUUUCUUGGAAAGCUGGGACCCUGCUGUGAAAUCUGGAGCGGGGUUGUUGGGGGGUUGAGGUGCUGACCAAAGCGAUGCCAGCAGCAACCCAGUCUCCUGAGUGACCCAGGCCAGGGUCUGGAAACAACGGGGUGUCCUGGCAACAGUCAGGGGGAGCUUCCAGCAGGGCGAAGUCCCUAUCCUCAUCUCUGCCCUCGGGGGUGUUUUUCUCCUUUCGGCCCAGGGCUACAGGCAGGAGAAAUUCACACCUGGAAUAUCUCGAGGAGGCGCCUUAUUUCCUCUGAGCCCUUGCUGAGUGUCGAGAGGCAGCUCAUGUCCCUCCUCCGACCCCAAGAGUCCACAGUCUUCCCUCACACCCCUUUAUUCUCGGACGAGGCCCGUGUGGUGAGCGGGAACCCCUGCUGUCCCCUGGACCAGCGCGGAGCUGGGCCCUAACUUUGCAGUUCCCGCCGCAUCGGCACGCACCCGCGAGGUGGGAGCGGGAAGCCCAGCCGCAUUAGAGGCUCAAUUCCGGCAGGUGCAGAGUGGGUGCGGGUCAAGGCCAAUGAGAGUGUGUGUGGCCAAGCCCGCUGGUUUCCUGAACCGAAAUUCUCCGGGGAGGGAGAGAAGAGGAGGGUGCGGGAGACGGACUUGGAGGCGAGAGGUGGCGGCAGUUUCCAGGAGCUUUGACGUAGACUUGGAGAGGCGCCGAGCACUCCCACUGCUUAAGUAGAGGCACGGUAGCCUCCAGGACGCGGAAGCUGGGGACAGCCACUCGCUCGGGAGCAGCCUGAGCGUUUCCUCUCCGCGUACUCGAGGGAACUCUCUCCACGCGUUCGAGGGAACCCGGAAGGGGCCAGGCGGGUGAGUGCGGAGGGAAGCCCUUGUGCCAUCUGGGAGUAGAGCCGCCGAGUCAGGAGGUACAUAUUCUCAGCUCCUAAGGACCUCCUUCCUAAAGAAGAAAGAGUUGAUUGAAGAUUUGAUAAGCAUGCAUGUGCGUAGGAGUGGGUCUAGUGUCAUUGGAAAAGUGAACCUGGAAAUAAAGAGAAAAUAAAUUGAACUCGGAGCUAAUUCAUGCCUUGGAAUUAAAUAUACAUAUAUAUAACAUUUUUCUUAACUAUUGAUUAUUUAUUUAUUUUAAAUGGUGGGAAUGCCCAGAGAUAAAUAUGAACCCAAAUUCUCUCAGUAUACUAAUUUAAAGCUGCCUUCUAUUAUUUAUUUAUUUAUUUUAGGCUGCUAGCAUGUUUCUUCUAAUGGUGACAUUACUGCCAGUCUAUCCCACAGUCUAAAGGAGUUAAAUAACUUCCAGAGAUGACUUGAGGAUUCUUUGUAUUCAUUUAAUAGUUCAUUUUGGGAUGCUUGACAUGUUAAUAAACUAGUGUGCCAUACAUUUAACUUGAAUACACUGCAUGGCUUCCAAGACUUCAACCACUGGAUUGCUUAUGCACAGGCACAUAAGGGACUACAUUUUGGAAUUACUAGUUACUGACAAUCUAUGAUAUCUGAAUCUUGUUUGACAGCAUAUUUUUGAAUACUGAAUGAAGCAAAAAGUAAAACAAAACAAAAAACUGGCAAAUAAAGCAUUCUUCUAAUGAAAACAAAAUUAAUAAAAGCUCUGGACCCCAGGUAAUGUUAUUGGAGUCUCUUUAUUUCAAUAUUUAAUGUUAUCACUAAUGACAUCCAAACUCUAAUAAAAUAAUGUUUAAGUGUAAAUAGGUACAAAUUAUUUCCCAAUAAGCAUAUUUGUUAUUUGAUUAAAUAUUAUAACUCUAUAAGUGGUUACACUUUGCAUUGAAAAACAAAAUAAAGCGAACAGCAUUAUAAGAGAAGAACCCAUAAAUAAUUAUUUUCCUGAAAAAUGACCAGGCCCGAACAAGGUUUAUAGCAGAGAAGUCCAAUUAGCAAAUGUAUUUGAGUUAGAGACACAAUGCUAUUUUUAUCUCUAAUUAUUCCCAACUCUCCAAUCAUUCUAUUAUAACCAAUAUGUAGGAUUGACAGCCAGUUUGAAUUUCAGAUAUGUUAGCAAUUCCCUUGCUUUUUUCAGGUCCAAAGGAAGCCUCAGUAAAUCUUUUCAUUGAAGGAUUAGGGCCCUCCUUAAACUAGAAAUUGCAUCUAAAGGGUUAUUAUCAGAAAACAGUUUCAUUUGAGGAUUAGUUGAGUCUUCACAACAAGAAAAGGAAGCUUGGGGAAAGAGGUGGGGGAGAAGGCCCAGCCUCAGCUUUUGGCUCCUUGGGAAAAUUAGUAUUUUAUUAAAAAGUUGCCACCCUUUGACUACUUUUUCAACAUACAGGCUCAUGAUUUUGCAUUGAUGGUGCUUUUUCUAACGUUUUUCAUCAUAUUCUUCAAAACUAUCACGUAAAUUCACUAUCUCUUAUAAAUCAUCAAAGAGAAACUACACUUGGAGAAUGAGCUUGCAGAAGAGCCUGCCCUUUGUUCUUCCCUCACCUUGGUACUCCACAACGGGGAUUGGCAAUCUUUUUCUGUAGAGUCUGAUAGUAAAUAUUAUAGGCUUUCUGGGCCAUCCAGUCUCUGCUGUAACUAAUCAAUUCGGCCUCGGCGGAACAAAAGCAGUUAUCACAAUACAUAACUGAGUGAAUAUGGUUGUGUUCCAAUAAAACUCUGUUUAUGGACACUGAAAUCAGAGUCCAUACACUUUUCAGGUGCCACAGAAUAUUUUUCUUUGGACUUUUUCAAUUUUUUAAAAAGAUAUAAUAACCACACUUAGCUCAUAGCCUGUUCAAAACAGGGAGCAAGCCGAAUUUGGCCCAGGGACUGCAGCUUGCUGAUGAAGCUUACCAAAAGUGUAAGGAACAAACUGGGAUGAAGUGAAAAGAAGAGUAACUAUGCUAAGCAACAAAACUAAAACCAACAGUUU
rnacentral:lncRNA from 10 species